UACCCGCAGCUCAAGUGGUGGUCAUUAUUAUUGGGCCUAAAGCGUCCGUAGCAGGCUUGUUAGAUGCCUGGGUAAAUCGAUGCGCUUAACGCAUCGAAUUCCGGGUAGACCGGCAAGCUCGAGACCGGGAGAGGCGUGAGCUACUCAAGGGGUAGGGGUAAAAUCCUGUAAUCCUUUGGGGAGGACCAGUGGCGAAGGCGUCACGCUAGAACGGCUCUGACAGUGAGGGACGAAGCCCUGGGGCGCAAACCGG
rnacentral:rRNA from 1 species